rnacentral:misc_RNA from 1 species
GAUGAAGAACGCAGUGAAAUGCGAUAAGUAAUGUGAAUUGCAGAAUUCAGUGAAUCAUCGAAUCUUUGAACGCACAUUGCGCCCUAUGGUAUUCCGUAGGGCAUGCCUGUUCGAGCGUCAUUACACACCUCAAGCUCUGCUUGGUAUUGGGCGUCGUCCCCUAAACGGGACGUGCCUCAAAGACCUCGGCGGUGGCGUCUUUGCCUCAAGCGUAGUAAUCUUUUUAUCUCGCUUUGGAGUCGAAGGCGUCGCCCGCCGGACGAAACCUUUAUUUUUCUAUCAAGGUUGACCUCGGAUCAGGUAGGGAUACCCGCUGAACUUAAGCAUAUCAAUAAGCGGAGGA